UACCGCCCCCUCCCGCCAAUCGGACAGCUCCGGCCACGCCCCCGGGGCGCUAGCCCGCAGCCAAUGAGCAACUAGAGCCCGGCUGGGAGCUGCGCCGGCCAAUCACAGAGGCCGAGGACGCCUUGAAUCUCCGGGCAAGUUAAGUUUGUCUCCGAGGCUCCGAACUGAAGGGAGCUGGCGGGUUAGUUAGGUAGUGAAGUGGGAGGGAAUAUAGUUUGUGCUGCUCCGCCAAUAGGAGAAAGAGGGUGUGUUGUAUGCAAAUUAUCCCGGGGAGCCCAGCCCCUUAUCUAAGGCAGGCCACGCCCCCUUCCCUAGGUCCCUGCAGAAAUGGUGAGGAGGGUGAGAAAAAUAACUGGGAGCUAGAGCUCGCUAGCGGGUCUAAGACUGAGCUAAAAAUUUCCUGAUUUCUUGAGAAAGGUUGGGAAGGGAGGGGGAACUGAAACGUUCAUACCAUCAGGGCAGCGGUUAGGCUUUCUCUCAGCCACAAUCUUAGCUUAGCUGUAAGGAAGACUGCAGUCACGUAGCACUUUGCUUCCAGGGAUCUCAAAGAACUUUAUGCAUCAUUUAUCGUGACCCUUGUUUUACAAAAGACCAGUUACCUGAGGUUUGGGCGGGGGUUAGGGGAUAGAUGUUUGAGGUAUAUUUACACCAUUAAUCGAGUGAGGGGGAAAAAAGACAAAACCUCUGGUUUAGCGGUUUUCUCCUCGAUCUGAAGCCCCUUCUCGCAGUCAUCUCAGCAAUGAAACUUCCUUUAUUUGUCCAGCACGAGAGGGCCAAAGAAACAGGUUUAUCCUCUUCACCCAAAAGCCCUUUCUGAGACGGCUGGCCAGACACACACAGAGCACAGAGCCCUGCUUGGGAAGGAAGGUUCAGAGAACAAAUUGCCUUUUAAAACUGUUGGGCUGGACCUGCCUCUUCCAAAGCUAAAAAUGACUUCUUUUUCUUUCUCUGGGGGCCACCCAAAGCCUUUGGAUUGCAGGUGCUUCAACAACAUCAUUCUACCCGGAUUCCAGAGUGAGAUCAGACUCAAGUCUGGCCACAUGGCACAAAUGGACAACCCAUACAUUUGGAGAGACUCCAAGAAAUCCAUCCGAAGCUCUGAAUGGUCCUGGCCCUGUUCCAAAAUUUUACUAACCUUCCACAAAUUGGGAUUCCAGACACGUUCUUACCUUGGCCUCCAGGAUAAUGGAAGCCACAAAAGAGACAGAAAUUAAAAUGUCAGCCCAGCUGGGCCCCACAAUGUGGGCCAGCAAUUACAGUGGAACCCACUGCCUCUUAGAUCACCUUAGUGCAGAACAUCUGUGUUUCCUGCAACAAAGAUAAUAAAAUAAUCCAGAGCCCUGUCUUACAUGUUCCUUAACUCUGCGUAAAUACAGUGCGCUACUUAACAAUAGCAACCAAGAUGUUAAUGCACAACAGGAAAAUGUUCAAAAUCAGGUGAAAAGCAGAGAUCAGAAUUCCAGCAAGCUUUGUAAUUCAGCCACCACCCUCAUCACUCAGGACCUAAAUAACCUGAAAUAUGUGAUCGAGGCUGGAGAGGCAAGUAAAACAUGGCUUUGUUAUUCUCUGCCUGAGAAGGGUAUCACCCAAACCUUCUCACUUACUAAAGAUUCUGACAGAUGAGUAGUAUGCCAUGUCCUUGCAGAUGGAGAAAAGAAUAUCCACAGCAAAGGUGACACCUUCGAGGUCAUACACUUUGUGGGAUCAUGACAGAAGUUCAAAACAUCAACUUGAAAAAGACAAGUGAAACUGAGGACCAAAGUUGGAAGUAUGGGUGACAGAAGGGAUUAAAUGGUGUGGGAAUGAAGACAUUGCCAAUCUCCUCACUUUCUCCUUUUUUAUUCU